UAAGCUCAAAAGGCAGUCGCUUGGGUUACCCAAGAGGAAAGUCCGGGCAGCAUAGGACAAGGUAGUCGUUAACGGCGACCGUUCGAGAUUAUAGCUGCGGCUGUAGUUUAAGAAUAGGGAAAGUACCACAGAAACAAAACUACCGUAAGGUAAAGGUGAAAAGAGUGAGGUAAGAGCUCACAGCGAUCUAUGGUGACAUAGGUCGGAGGCAAACCCUACCUGCUGCAAGGAGUGCUAUCAACCUUAGUCCGAGGAUGCACGCUCACCGCUCGAGCCUUCUGGCAACAGAAGGACUAGAUAGAUGAUUGCCCACGACAGAACCCGGCUUAUAGAGAGCUUACAUG
rnacentral:RNase_P_RNA from 1 species